UACGGAGGAUGCGAGCGUUAUCCGGAUUCACUAGGUUUAAAGGGUGCGUAGGCGGGAUAAUAAGUCAGGGGUUAAAGGCAGUGGCUCAACCAUAUGCAUGCCCUUGAUACUGUAGUUCUUGAGUAGUUUCGAGGGUAGCGGAAUGUGCAGUGUAGCGGUGAAAUGCUUAGAUAUUGCACAGAACACCGAUAGCGAAGGCAGCUAUCCAGACACUAACUGACGCUGAUGCACGAAAGCGUGGGGAUCAAACAGG
rnacentral:rRNA from 1 species